rnacentral:lncRNA from 1 species
CGUCUUCACUUCCUCAAAAGUGCUAAAAAGAGCCCCUGGGCGCAGACCCUUCCCCAAGGGACUAAACGCAUUCAGUUAUCUUUCAAAGAGCUUAUUCGAGAACAACCUAUUCUAAAAGCAACCUAUUUGAAUUGGAAAACUGCUUCUUUUAGAAUUCAGUUAUCUUUCAAAGAGCUUAUUCAAGAACAACCUAUUCUAAAAGCAACCACUUGAAAAAAUUAUAUAUAAUGACAAUAUUAUAAACAAGUAGUCUUUAAAUCCUUAAAAUAUCAGAUAUCAGUUU